GUGAAAUGCUCAUUGCAGUGCUGCAAAAAGGUGAGGUCACAGGACACAAACCCAUAUCUGAGACCUGGAUGCCUUCCUCCACGCACUCACCCACUGGCUGUCCUGAGCAUCACCCUGCACCUAUUGUCACAGCAACAAGGGAAAAAUCAGGAUAGUGGUCAAGUCCAUUGUCAGCUUCUGACACUGCCUCUUACAAGGAGGUGACUUUGGAAAUGUCAUUCAGCCUUCCUGUGCCUGAGAUCGCCUCACCUGUCAAAUGGGAACAAUAAAGCACUUCAAAG
rnacentral:lncRNA from 10 species